rnacentral:rRNA from 1 species
CAGGAGGGGGCAAGCGUUAUUCGGAAUUAGUUGGGCGUAAAGGGCGCGUAGGCGGCUUUGCAAGUGACGGGUGAAAGCCCUCGGCUUAACCGAGGAACUGCCUGUCAGACUGUGAGGCUUGAGACCGGGAGAGGUGAGUGGAAUUCCCAGUGUAGCGGUGAAAUGCGUAGAUAUUGGGAGGAACACCAGUGGCGAAGGCGGCUCACUGGACCGGAACUGACGCUGAGGCGCGAAAGCGUGGGGAGCAAACAGGAUUAGAUACCCUGGUAGUCCACGCCGUAAACGAUGAGUGCUUGGUGUAGCGGGUAUCCGACCCCUGCUGUGCCGAAGUCAACACAUUAAGCACUCCGCCUGGGGAGUACGGUCGCAAGACUG